AGCAGCCGCGGUAAUUCCAGCUCCAAUAGCGUAUAUUAAAGUUGUUGCAGUUAAAAAGCUCGUAGUUGAAUUUUGGAUUCUGCCAAUUGGUCCAUCUUUUAGAUGAGUACUGGUUGUGUGGGGUCUAUCCGCCUGGUGAUACGUAAUGUCCUUUAUUGGAUGUUGCGGGUAGUCAGGACCUUUACCUUGAAAAAUUAGAGUGUUUAAAGCAGGCUUAUGCCGGAAUACAUUAGCAUGGAAUAAUAGAAUAGGACGAAGUUGUUUUAUUUUGUUGGUUUCUAGGACAACCGUAAUGAUUAAUAGGGAUAGUUGGGGGCAUUAGUAUUCAAUUGUCAGAGGUGAAAUUCUUGGAUUUAUUGAAGACUAACUACUGCGAAAGCAUUUGCCAAGGAUGUUUUCAUUAAUCAAGAACGAAAGUUAGGGGAUCGAAGACGAUCAGAUACCGUCGUAGUCUUAACCAUAAACUAUGCCGACUAGGGAUCGGGCGAUGUGUUUCCAUGACUCG
rnacentral:rRNA from 1 species